UCAGACCCUUCAACCACGGUAUUUCUGCCUUGGAGCUGGCCAGCGGUGCAAGGACCGAGACUUCUAAAACUGUGCCAUAGCUGGGAUCAAAUGUAACAGAAACAAGGGUCCGAGUGCCAGGAGAGGAGAAGGAAGCUGCUCAGUUGGAGGCCUAAGGCCACUUGACCCCAGGACUCUCUCUCCUCCCUCUUGGUGCCUGCCGAGUGUCUGGUCCACAGCAAGCGUGCUCAGGGUGGCUGCUGAAUGAGGGACUGUUCCCGCCUCUCUACCUCAGACCUCUGUGAUGCAGGCUGUGUCUUCAACACCUGCCCCUGGCUGUGCUUUGCUUCUGGUCUCUGGAAGCAGAGAGGGAAACCGAAGUCCGCCAGGGCAGGUUGGUGUCCUUCAGGGCUGAGAGGCCACCGUGGGAAUCAAGGAAGAGGGGAUGUGGGAGAGACCUUAGCAGUUCUGGUGCUGGUCUUGCGAUGGAGAUCGACCUUCGGCUGUGGCUCAGGGCAAAGGUGACCCGGUUACUCUACUGCUUAAACUCCUCAGUGUGAUGAUAAUAACAGGAACUUAGGAGCUA